ensembl:lncRNA
ACACACACACACGAAUAGGUGGAAGGCAUUCAGAGAAAAGUUCAGUAAAGUCUGAAGGAUCCUUUUCAGUUCAAGAUGAAAAUGUGGUGCUAGACACUGAAAGACUACAGGUGAAAAGAAUGAGAAAAAGAUAGAAGACUUAUGACUAAAUAAAGGUUAGGUAAUGGUUUUCAUUCUAGAACCCACCCAGCCCUCGACAAUACUACGUGAUUAACAAGUUUUGUUGAGGAAACAGCAUGAUCCUCAGUGUUUCUCACGGAUUCCUAAAUGAUGACUUUCUCCACUUCACGUAGAUCAAACAGCUUGUGGCAGCAGGUCACCAUAGCCACCAGGACUGGCCCGAGAGAAGUUGACAAUGGCAUGGGCAUGGUCGAUUUAAAUACUGACCUUUGUGUGCUAAAGUGUGAAGAGACUUUUAAUGCCAACACAACUCAUACAAGGUUGACAGAGAUGACAAUUCUGCCAAAUAGUUGAGUGUGCACUUGAUAUACAGGGUAUCACACAGAAAUCUGAAGGGACCACAAAUGCACAGCUGUACGAAUCUCCACUGUGUUGUAAAGAAAUGACCUAAAUUCUAUCCUUUUUAUUGGUCGACACUUUUCGAAAUACAUUAUGUGCAUAUGUUUUCACGGCAUACGCCUUGUUUUUUUCCCUCGCCAUGUGUUUUUACUUAUGGAGUAGACCAGACCAGAGCCCAUACCUUGGCAGGAAACAAGAGCACAAACAAUUGUAUCUGAGCCAGCUAUUUGGCUGUGCUCCCUGGUAAUGCUGAUUUUCAGUUCUGUUCAUGCGCAUAAUUCCAGUCACCCAGUCUGUUAUUCCACAAGUAGUCUUUUGUCUCCGUGUUACCCAGAAUGCCACACUUCAAAAGGAGGUGGCAAAUUCUUCUCCUUCCCCUGAGAUGCAUUAAGAUGAAUGUUCAUUAAGGUGAAGGUUCAUUAAGGUGAAUGUUCAUUAAGAUGAAUGUUCAUUAAGGUGAUCCCUAACUCUAGAUGCUUUAAGGUGAAGGUCUUCCCCUCUGGUUGGGGUUGCUGAUCUCAUAGCAUCAGUCUGCUUUAUCUGAACAAUACGGUCCCUUCAUAUCUGUACCAGCAACAUUGGUAGCACUAUGGUGCCAAGCGUGACCAUGUUCGCUGUGCUGUCCAAGCCCUCUGUGCUGUAUCUGGCAUGGCGCCACUGAGAGGGAGAAAUGAGAGGGAGAUUGGGUCUCAUCCAGCUAGGGUGCCUGGCACACUGCCUAGGAGCAACUGCUUGAUUGCCCUCUCCUCUACAGGUAUAUAGAUAACUCAUCUGGAAGGGGAAGGGAGUCGUCACCCGAGUCACAGCCAGGGUUUCCGAAAAAGAGGCCUCAAGACGGGUAGCUGACACGUUAGAAAAUAUGCAUCAGAAUGCAUUCAGAAAGAAACAGGAUAGUUUCACUAAAAACCGUCAAGUCAAGCUAUGAGUACAAUAAAAUCAAGCACACACACGUAUAAGAUCAUGACUAUACCCGACACAGGUCAGUAUCUCAGUCUCUACAGCUCACUCAUUGUAGCUAUGUAUAGCCCAGUUUGUGUCAUGUUUUCUUUCUUGACUCUCCUCUAUGCUCUGUCCAUUUCUCUCUCUCUCUCUCUCUGGUGAGCACAUGCAGGGCAGUAAAUCAGUGUGGAGCGAGGCUGGUAGGGUUCAGGCUCAGGUUGCCUCUAUUUAACGAGCGCUAGUUGCCUUGAUCACUCAAACCAACCCCAGGUGACGGAUGUCUUAUAUUUGAUGACACCAUUCCGCUCCAGACACAGACUGUUACGGUUACGGUAAGUGAUGUCACCUGAAACAGUGAAUCCUUCUUCACCACGGAGACGAGUUUAUGGGUGGCGGGGGUCAGAGUGUUAGGUUUCAAGCAGAUUCUACAUCCAUGGUGGAAAUACUAAGAAGGUCAUGAGAACGUUCACACGCUGGAAAGAUGAUCAUCAUCAUCAAAUAAGCAAGUUCACAGUGAUGUCCGCCAGUAAGUAGAAAAGCGCUACAAAUGUCUAUAUGCGUGAUUACCAACAAAUCAUUUCAGUUUCAGAAAUGAAAAGACCCUAAUGACUUCACUACAUGGCACCUGAAAUAUAAAACUCUAUUCACCAAUCAGAAGAGAUGAUGGUGCACUUACACACACGUUUAUUCACUUUGAUCUGAAGCCACCUAUAGUAUGGUAAACAGUAUCACACAUUUUCAUCAGUAUGAGUAUGAAGUGGCCAGCCUUACCAGGGAUCUUCAGAUUGAGAUCACACACACUGCCCACACUAGCAACAGAGGCAGCCUUCUGCCGGCGGGAGAUGCUCUCGCGGAUACGGCCCUCUCCGGUGACCUUCACUGAGAAGGGACUGCCUGUGGACACACACACCAAAGCAGAGCACACACAUCGGUGCAUCAGUCAGCGCUGCUUCCACUCAAAGUGUACUAAUGUCUUUACAUUAUUUGCUCUGUACCAUCGUGGAGUAUACUGAAACCACAUUUCAUUGAAACGGUGCAACCAUCAGCAAUGUGGACCAUAUUUUACAUUUAGCAGACGCUUUUAUCCAAAGCGACUUACAAGGAUGUAUACACAUUUUUUACAUUUACACUGAUGGCACACUGCACAUCAGGAGCAAUUAGGGGUUCAGUGUCUUGCUCAAGGACGCUUCGACAGGGAAUCGAACUAGCA